GAAGGGAGGAAGGACUUUUCUAUCUUCCUAUUUACUCACUCUUCAGCAUUCCUUGAUUGCCUACCCUGUAGGCACUUCGCUAGAUACUGGAAACACACUGUUCCAGCAACAGAGGAUUCAACCAGACAGACCAUCCGUGCCUGGACGAACAUGAGAAUGGUCUCCUCCCAACUGGAAAGGCUGUUACUGCCAUGCCACAGGGACCAGCCUCCCAAUUUCCCACAGGAAUACUGGUCAGUCUGGGAAACUCCCGGCCGCUGCAGCAAGGGACAAGCUAUAGAGCCUGCACAAUAUGCAUCAAAAUUCAGGUGCCUUGGCGCAGCCUCUCGUGCGUGCCCUAGGCGAUAACCAGAGGUGUGGCUGCCACCCAAGAAGUACUUUCAAGGCAUUAAGAAGCUGUGGAAAUAAAAAGAACAA